UACAGAGGGUGCAAGCGUUAAUCGGAAUGACUGGGCGUAAAGGGCGCGUAGGCGGUUUAUUAAGUUAGAUGUGAAAACCCUGAGCUUAACUCAGGAAGGUCAUUUAAUACUGGUAGACUAGAGAGCAGUAGAGGGUAGUAGAAUUUCCGGUGUAGCGGUGAAAUGCGUAGAUAUCGGAAGGAAUACCGGUGGCGAAGGCGGCUACCUGGACUGCAUCUGACGCUGAGGCGCGAAAGCAUGGGUAGCGAACAGG
rnacentral:misc_RNA from 1 species